AUAAAAGGCCCAGUUAGAGGCUGCAGUGGGGUGCAGGGCAGUCAGACUGGAACCAUGGAGCUCAGCGUCCUCCUCUUCCUUGCACUCCUCACAGGCCUCUUGCUACUCCUGGUUCAGCGUCACCCUAACUCCCAUGGCACCCUCCCACCAGGGCCCCGCCCUCUGCCCCUUUUGGGGAACCUUCUGCAGAUGGACAGAAGAGGCCUACUCAAAUCCUUUCUGAGGUUCCGAGAGAAAUAUGGGGACGUCUUCACGGUACACCUGGGACCGAGGCCCGUGGUCAUGCUGUGUGGAGUAGAGGCCAUACGGGAGGCCCUGGUGGACAACGCUGAGGCCUUCUCUGGCCGGGGAAAAAUCGUCAUCAUGGACCCAGUCUACCAGGGAUAUGGCAUGCUCUUUGCCAAUGGAAACCGCUGGAAGGUGCUUCGGCGAUUCUCUGUGACCACCAUGAGGGACUUCGGGAUGGGAAAGCGGAGUGUGGAGGAGCGGAUUCAGGACGAGGCUCAGUGUCUGAUAGAGGAACUUCGGAAAUCCAAGGGAGCCCUCGUGGACCCCACCUUCCUCUUCCAUUCCAUUACCGCCAACAUCAUCUGCUCCAUCAUCUUUGGAAAACGCUUCCACUACCAAGAUCAAGAGUUCCUGAAGACGCUGAACUUGUUCUGCCAGAGUUUCUUACUCAUCAGCUCUAUAUCCAGCCAGCUGUUUGAGCUCUUCUCUGGCUUCUUGAAAUACUUUCCUGGGGCACACAGGCAAGUUUACAAAAACCUACAGGAAAUCAAUGCUUACAUUGGCCACAGUGUGGAGAAGCACCGUGAAACCCUGGACCCCAGCGCCCCCAGGGACCUCAUCGACACCUACCUGCUCCACAUGGAAAAAGUGGGGUCUGGGAGAGGAAAAAGGGAAGGGAGGGGAGGGAGGGCAAGAUAGAGAGGUGAGAAGAGGGAGGGAAAAGGGGUAGGGAAGGGGAAGAUGGGGAGUGAAGAACAAAGAUUAGGGAGGGGAGAAUAGUGAAAAGGAGGAGAGCAGAUGAGGAAGGAAAGAAAGAUGAGGUGAAAGGAAGGAGAAAAUAGGAGGAACUGAGAUGGAGAGAGAGUGGUGGUGGGAAGUGGGGGAGAGAGAGAGAGGGAGAGAGAAGACUGGCUGAGGAAGGAAUUUGGGGCAAGAGACAAAAAUACAGCAACAGGAGAAAAGACUCACGGAGGUAGAAAGAGACUGGGAGACAAAAAGAGAGAAACACAUCAAAAAGAUGUGGAGAGAGAUAGAAACAGAGCC
ensembl:lncRNA CYP2B7P cytochrome P450 family 2 subfamily B member 7, pseudogene